AUGAUUUUCAAGAUCAUCCCAGGAAGUCCCUGAGACACAAACAACCCUCACCUGUGAAACAGGGAGGGUAGGCUGCAUGCUGGCCCUGCUCUGGGUCAGUCCUGGUGGCAAGUUGGUUGCUGGCUGCAUCAGGUGUGCAAAAGUAGGAAGGAGCUGGGAGCUGCACCUGCUUUGCAGGUCUCCACUGAGCACUUCAGCUUGGGAGCUCAUUUAAAAGUUCCUGUCCAUCUUCUUGGAAGUGUCAUGUGAGCAGGGUAAUAUAGGGAAAAGAAGAAAAAAGAAAAGAAAAAAAAAAAAAAAGAGCUGUCCUGAGUUGGAAGGCUGUGUGUUGAGCUGCUGCUUGAAGCGUUUGCAGCCUCUGGGGACCGUCAUUUGAGGAGGGGAGCUGGCUGUGGCUGUGAGCCCAACCCAAGGCAACAAAGCACCACAAAGCAUAAUAACUCUCCUCACCACUGUCUGUACUGCUGUACCCCAUCUGAAAUGCUGAAGCAAAACUAUGAGCCUGAGGUUCCCAACCUGUUGUGACCCAUCCCAAACCCAAGGAACCCAGAACUUAAAACAGGACACCUGAAUACCACAAAAGUGCUUCACUGUCUUGUGUAGCCUUGACAUAUGCAUUGCAAAGUAUUCUUUGGGCUCACUGUGCAGUAAAUACCUGUGGCACAGAGAUGCACUCCUGUGAAGAGAAGGCAUCAGCUUGAUAAAUGAAUUAUUGAGUAAAACUAUGAUCAGACUAGAUAAUCACAGUGAUCCCUUCUGGCCUUAAAAUCUAUUAUCUUAAUUCUCAUUUACCCUGAGGCUGUUUUACCUCGCUCUAGCUAUAUAAAUGGACCUUAAGGUUUGAAUAUUUAUAUCCCCUUUGAGGUAUCUUUAUGUUGCCAGAGUGAUGCCUCGGUAACCUUUGUGUGAAUGAGAAUGAGGAGCUCCACGGCCCUGGAUUGCCAGGGUGGAAGCUGGCUCAGGGGCUGGGGUUCUGCUCAUUUCUGUGGUUUUCCUUGUAUGAUCAAUACAUGUAGACUGUUUGGGAGUCCUUGUUUUAAUAUUUUAUUAACAUCGAUUCACUUUGCUUAUGCCUUUUGUGCUGAGGAUUGACUAAUUACUGACAUAAGCCAAUCCACCUGCAUCUGGCUAAAAUCAGGGUGUACACAUUUCUCAGGUGUUAUAUGAUAUAGUACCCACCUCAGGAGUGAAAAGAAGUCAUAGAGUAAACUGGUAAGGGCUAUAAGCUUGGAAAUGAGUUCUAAUGACCCACAGCUGGACAUCAGUCAGCAUCAGAGGACCAUGUGCUGGGAGGUUGUUCCCAAAAAGUCUGUCCAGUCCAGUCAAGGCUGCAGUACAUUGUAAGGCUUAUGUAACAGUAAUCUGGCCCUUGUGUGAUGGAAACCACACUUCGUAGCGACAGUAGUGAAAUAUAUGACUCUGUAGUGCUAGUGACUCUCAGCUGGUGCACCAGGAGCUUGCUAUGAAGGUAGAACAGCUUGAUCCAGUGACUACCUUUUAAUGGCAUCGUGGCUGUGUUGCCAAGGUUGGAUUUUCUGCACUAGACCCUGCAGCAGGAUGGCCCUGAUGAGCAGCACAAGUGUGCACACUCUCAUCACAGCUUCGUGGUGUAAACAUGGUCUAAUAAUAAACAAAAAUCAUGGUGGGUACUUGGUUUAGAAGAACAUCUGCUCACUAAUCUGUUUUUAAACUGUGUAGUGGCUCUUCCCCAUAAGCCUUUCACUUGGAUGAAAAGAUAGUAAAGGAGGAAAAAAACAAAACAAAACACAAAAGAGAACUUCAGAUGCUCCAGAUUCCUGCUGGAUAAACACUGGCAUUCAUUGCUUCCUGGAGCACAGCACACUGCUCCCUGCAUGGAGCCCUUCACACUGUUAAAGUUGACCCAAAUGCCUCCUACAGAGAGGGACUCUUUUUGUUUUGUUGGGUAUUGAAUGCAACGUUACAAGCCAUGACUUAUGGCAGGAGAAAAGCAGACACCCGAGGACAGAUUCCUCUGUUGCAUAAUUCCGCAGCUGAGAAAUGUGCCAGGGAAUGCAGAAUUAUGACCGAGACUUUUCCAGCUUUCCUCCUUGUUGUCUUCAUGGCCCAGCAGAAAAUUGUGACAGCUGUAAGUGAGGAAAAAUGGAGCUUUAUUGCUUUCUGGACUAGUCAGAUGGCCCUUCUACAAUUGUAAGAAGUGAGAACUGGUCCUCUUAAUGGAUCUAUAGCAAAGCCAUUGACUUGGUCAGUCUAUCUAUAGUGAUUGCUCUCCUAGCCUAGAAGUGCUCCCUGCGGCUCUCUGUAAAUGCCUCUAGCAUCUUCCCACUUGCAAAUCAACAGUUGCCGUGCCUUCCUGCAGAAGUCCAGACCAUCGCUAUGCCUUGUCAGUGCAAGUGAAAACAAAUGGAACAAGCUAAACUUAAAACUACACGUCUGGUAAAGCACCAACCCAACAGGCAGAAUUUAUUCAAAGCAAACAGCAGGGAAUAACUUCUGUUGAUGCUAUUAAAUUAUUAUUUUGAAAUAUGAGAAUUGCCAGCCAGACCGUGACAGGGCAUGUGCCCAUGGUGCUCCCUCCAGUCCCCCUGCCCAGGACUGCUGGGGAAAGUGUUUGCAAUGUAUUCUGGCCACCUUGUUUUGGAGACUGGUGCUGGGUCCAUGCUGUCCCUUCCCAAAUCAGGGUGCAGGGCUCGGCAGACCAGGAUUAUCGAUCGUGGCAGCACCCACUUCUGCUGCACAAGCACCUUAGUGAAGUGGUGGGCUUCUUCAAGCUUAUUCCUUUGGAUGUUGCCUCCUACUAUGCUGUAUGGAGCCCUAAUGUGGUGUAACUUGAUGUGGGAUGAUGUUACACGAUGCACUGUGUGAGAAAAGCCAACUUGGCCUCUCCUGGCAUCAACCACUUGCUGGUGGUUCCCACUGUGACGUCACGGGUCAGCUUUUGGAUGGCGAGCAGCAGCACGGGUGUUUGGAAGAACCAGGAAAUGUUCAUUAAGCAAGUCUAAAUCCCAUUAGCAAAUUUUCGUAAAGUGGUAACACAGGGGCAAUAUUAGCCUUAUUAGUCUAAUAUGAGAGUCAUUCUUAUGACAGAGAAAAGUGCCAAUAAAGUCUUUUAUUUUGUACAGGCUACGUUCACUUGUGUGCCCUUAGUGACGGGAUGCAGAAUUCUGUUCUCACAGAGUCAGUUCAAAGCUUUGGAGUACAGGGGAUGAACAUGAAGGCCAUGGGCCUUGCUGACAAACCAGGGAUCAGGGCUGUGGGGGUGGGCUUGGCCAGUCUUCAAUCUGAAUAGAAAAAUGGGCUGCCACCUAUUUCUGAUUUCAUCUUCAGAUCUUAAAGCUUUUUAUAAGGAGAUAUGUUAUGAAAUAAUUUGUACAUUUUGCAAGCUACUGGCUUUCCUCUUGCUUGAUUGCUUUGCUUGUGGUAUAAAACUUGUUCUGUAGGCUGCACCACACGAUCCCAGCUGAAAUGGGAAGCCUCACCUGGACAGACAGUGGGUUGCUGGAGUAGAGGGACUGCGUGUGGGGCAGCUCCCUCCCUGCCUAUGUCUCACCACUGGCCCCAUCCCAGUGGGUCACAGCAAGGGAUCCAGCCCUGCCAGCAAGGAGCUGAACCCUCUGCCACUGUGUGCUUCCCCCCAUACUGAUUCCCUGCCAUAAAUUCAAGCUCGUGUACAAGCAGACACCUUGAGGAAGGCAUACAAUGAACAGUAUUCGAGGCUCCAACCCACAUCCUGCCCAUGCACAGAGCAUCAGCUGGUGCCAAGGCAGGUUUUGCUUUUUAUUUUCUUUUAUUUUCUUUUCAAAACCCAACUGCUGCAGUCAUUAAUUCCAGCAGUAGGUAUUGCUGUGGAGGAGGACUUGUUAAAUCCCAACAAAUUUAAUUAGGUCCUGGUUUCUCUUCACUGUUUCAUCAAUUAGUGCAAGCACAUACUGGUUUGUAAAACAAUCAAUAGGGUGGGGUUUUAAUCACUUAAGAACAUUAUUUAUCCCAUGGUCAGCCAGGUGGCUUGUGUUUAUAAAAGGGACUUGAAAGCUGUAGGACUGCUUCUAUAGAGCAGUGUGGCUGGUUCACCAUGUGUCAUCACGACCCACAUGACAACUACUGAGAAAAACAGAUGACCCUGGACCAAUGUUGAAAUGAAGACUUCUUCUGCUCCAGCACAGGAUGGCAGCGGGCCUACCGUAGCUGAUGGGUGGCUGAAGCAAAAAUAUCCCUGGCAGCUAAUAAAAAGCUCAUGUUUGCAACCAAGUCCAUUCCACAGGGAGCAAACAGCCCCACCAGGAGAAGAGCAGGAGCUGGCAGGUGUUUCCAGGGAACAGAUCAGGUGCCAUGGCACACAACUCUCACCAGUGACAGACUCUUUUUCAACAUUUCCUCCAUCUACAAAUACGAGGCUGUGUCCUUCAAAAAUCUCUUUCAUUUUAAUUACCUCAUUCAUUCAGCUCACGGCUGUGUCCCCAGGCCCUCCUGUGCCUCUGCAGCUCCACAGAGAGCAGGGCACCCACUGUGUACACCCCACCCUGCCUCUGGUGGCAAAGACAAGGAGUGAGCUUUUGGAAGCACGCCUGUAAGGGUGUCCACAGGGUGUGGGCCAUGUGUGCACAUCCUUCUGUGAGUGUUGAAACCUCAGCUGAUGUUAGAAAAAGGAGAGAAAUACAGACAGCCUGUGGUGAAGGAAUGUUUGGUUUUUAGUGUGUGUACAAUUACUUAAAAAAAAAAAAGUGUUUAGGGGAUCUCUGUUUGACAUGUGGGUUUACACCAUUGGUGAAUAAAUUCAAUGUCAGGUGAUAACCUUCCUCAUAAUUCCAGCCUCUAGCUGACGUUGCUGGAUGCUGCAGAAGGGAGAUCUCUGCAUCUAGGGUUCAUCUUCUUUCCCUACCCUGUGCUUGUCCACAAGCCUUUUUUUUUUUUUUUUUUUUUUUUUUGUGUGCGUGUGUUUUGGUUUUGUUUUGGUUGUUUGUUUGAAAUCAUUUCUGCAAGCAUAUUGCAGUCUAUAAAAUGUUUUAAAAUUCUUUCCUGGUUGUUUGCAUUUCUAAACUGGAGGUCUUCUGCCUGGACGUAACACCACCUACAAUUCCCUAACACCCUCUGUGGAGUAGUUACUUCUUAAAUAGGGAUGCAUGAAUAUUUAUGAUGCAAAGUGCAUUUUCUCUGAAUAUUCUGCAACAUCAGUUAAAAGUAUUUUUAUGACUGUUUCUACCAUCGACUUGUAAAUGUAUGGAAAGCAGGCACAAAGUAAUUGUUUGGCUGCAUUCACUCAUCCUCUUUUGUAACAGUUCCUGUCACCUAAUAGCUGGUAGGAGACUGCAAAGAGACAGAGGGGCACAGAACCAAGCUAUCGAGGUCCACUGGCAACCCACAUGUGAGAAUAGAAACCAAAUCGCAGCUUUGCAAGAGCCUAAGAAAAGGGAUGGGAGCAGGGUGGGACGGGGUGUCCCCCCUUUGUCACAAGGUGACCCCUUCUAAUUACACCUGGAUAAGACAUUAGGGCAAAAGAAAUCAUUCUGUAUUGUGGUUGUCCAAUUUAUGUACUCUCAAGAGGAUUAGCUGUCCAUCGCUACAGCUAUUUUUGGCAUAUUCCACAGCUGCUAAUUUCAUUAAAUAGCCCUGAGAAGGGAGUGUGUUAGCGGUCAAUAUAGUUUCACAUUUUUCUUUCCCAUUACUAUUUUUCUUAGACUUAUCCUUUGCACAGAAAGGAAAUGCACAUGAAGCUUAUCCAGUUCUUGGUUAUUGAGGAAUAAAUAAUUUUGAGCAUUGAAAAACUUUCACAGAAGACCAACUUUAUUGGACCUUAGAAAUCAGGGAAGAAAUUAAUAAGUAAAAUGAAAAAAAAAAAAA